AGAACGAACGCUGGCGGCAGGCUUAACACAUGCAAGUCGAGCGCUGUAGCAAUACAGAGCGGCGCACGGGAGAGUAAUACAUGGGAACCUUCCUUUAGGUUCGGGAUAACGUCGGGAAACUGACGCUAAUACCGGAUACGUCCUUAGGGAGAAAGAUUUAUCGCCUUUAGAUGGGCCCAUGUUGGAUUAGCUAGUUGGUGAGGUAACGGCUCACCAAGGCUACGAUCCAUAGCGGGUCUGAGAGGAUGAUCCGCCUCACUGGGACUGAGACACGGCCCAGACUCCUACGGGAGGCAGCAGUGGGGAAUAUUGGACAAUGGGGGCAACCCUGAUCCAGCCAUGCCGCGUGAGUGAUGAAGGCCUUCGGGUUGUAAAGCUCUUUUGCAGGGGACGAUGAUGACGGUACCCUGAGAAUAAGCCCCGGCUAACUUCGUGCCAGCAGCCGC
rnacentral:rRNA from 1 species